GAUGAACGCUGGCGGCGUGCUUAACACGUGCAAGUCGAACGAUGAAGCCCAGCUUGCUGGGUGGAUUAGUGGCGAACGGGUGAGUAACACGUGAGUAACCUGCCCUUAACUCUGGGAUAAGCCUGGGAAACUGGGUCUAAUACCGGAUAGGAGCGUCCACCGCAUGGUGGGUGUUGGAAAGAUUUAUCGGUUUUGGAUGGACUCGCGGCCCAUCAGCUUGUUGGUGAGGUAAUGGCUCACCAAGGCGACGACGGGUAGCCGGCCUGAGAGGGUGACCGGCCACACUGGGACUGAGACACGGCCCAGACUCCUACGGGAGGCAGCAGUGGGGAAUAUUGCACAAUGGGCGCAAGCCUGAUGCAGCGACGCCGCGUGAGGGAUGACGGCCUUCGGGUUGUAAACCUCUUUCAGUAGGGAAGAAGCGAAAGUGACGGUACCUGCAGAAGAAGCACCGGCUAACUACGUG
rnacentral:rRNA from 1 species